GUCUUUUGGGACCCAGGGGCUGAUGUAUUGAGAAUGAUUUUGUACACAUGCCAAGUGAUGACAUUUAACUCAACAAUAGUCAAAGGGGGACAAGGGAUGUAGUGGAUCUGCCCUCUCAUCAGCACUGGAUGUGAUUGUCAGAGUGUCUCCCCAAGACUUUCCCAUACAUAUGAUUUUUAUGGUGGCGUUAAUCCCCUAAAAAGGUGAAGAGUGCUGCUUAUGGCCUCUCUUCCUGAAGCCAGGA